rnacentral:rRNA from 1 species
GACGAACGCUGGCGGCGUGCUUAACACAUGCAAGUCGAGCGGUAAGGCCCUUCGGGGGUACACGAGCGGCGAACGGGUGAGUAACACGUGGGUGACCUGCCCUCAGCUCUGGGAUAAAGCCUGGGAAACUGGGUCUAAUACUGGAUAUGACUCCACGGUGCAUGUCGUGGGGUGGAAAGCCUUGUGCGGCUGAGGAUGGGCCCGCGGCCUAUCAGCUUGUUGGUGGGGUGAUGGCCUACCAAGGCGACGACGGGUAGCCGG